GCACUAACUGGCUGCGUUGAUUCAGAGGCGUAUUUAUAGGGAAAGAGCGAGCCGUAUACAAAUAAAUUUUUUUGAGAAAUAUGAUGAAGAAGUUUUUAAUCGUAGAUUUCGUCUUUCCAAAAUUAACUUGAAGGAUUCAAGCACUUCGGCCAGCGGAAAUGUUGCUUUUAACACGGCGCAUCUAUGCACCGAAAAAUUAUAAAAACACAACGGAUUAAAUUAAAAAUUGCACGCAAAAAUGUAAAAAAAAUAUGAGAUAAUGACCAACUAACCAGAAGUUAGGAAUCCAGAAGUUGGUGAAAACAAAAGUAACAAAUCAGCAUAUCUGGCGGUUAGCUAUCUUCCGGUUAAAGGUUGGUCGUUUUAUUUCACGCUGCGCAACAAACUUUAUAAUCUAAUGAAAUCUAUCGCACGCGAUGCAAAGUCGGAAGCCACAUGCCAUUUAAUCCAGAAUAAAUGCUUGAGAGGAUCGCUUUGCAACCCUACGUAAAAAUUAGUCAAAAGAAAAGUCUGCGAGUGUCAAUUCAUAUAAAAUUAAUUAAACCAUAACAGAGCUUUCCUGGAGCUUUUAUUUUUGGCAGGAACUUUCAAGUCCAACAGGCGAAAGAUUAUUUAAUUGUAGCGUUCAGAUACUGGCGUGGAAGUUUUACUCUUUCACAAAGUGUUUGCCUGAUUCAAAACUGUCUUCGAUUUGAAAAUAAUGAUACGCGCCAAGAAAGAAAGAUGAGAACCUAUUGUAGAUGCUUUUCGUGAUCACUGCGCAUUUUGGCAAUUCUUGAUUAAUAUACCGGCAAAAUAUAGGAUCGAAAUAUUUAUUUAUAUGUUUUAGUGAAUGCACAAAUCAUUUAUAUCAAUAAUCAGGAAACAAUUGCGGAUUAUCAGCCACAAGUUCCCUUCUCGGCGAGCAAUAAACCUUUCGACAUUUGUUAAUAGACUUGUACAGCUAUAUUUACUAAAGCAUUAUAAAUUGACAUAAUAAUAAUAACCAUGUUCAGAUCACACUACAAUUAAAAAAAAAAUAAAUGGAAUGAGUCAACAUGAUCCCUAGGAUUUCAAAAGAAUUGCACAUUAGAAAAAAAGGAGAUUGUUUUAGUAAUGUCCACUCUCCACAAUGACAAUAACAUAGAUGUAGAAACUGGAGAUCAGAAAGUCAUUCAAGUGUCUCAUUUUACAACCAGACAAAGUGUGGAAUAGAUGUUAUCGAUGAGAUCUGCUCUACGUACGUAUCAAGAAACAGUAGACAUUGGCCAUUAACAGUGUUUUACUCACUACUGAAUAUGACAGCUAUAAAAGCGAUCAUCAUUCAAAACUCCAACACAAAUAAGAAAAUAUGAAAUGUAUGGAUUUUUUACGAAAUUUGGCACUUUCUCUGGUAUAAGACCAUUUAUACCACGAAAAGAGAUACCCAUCUGGGCGAAAAUGAGGAGGAAGUACCAAAAACAGGUUCGUAAUGCUGUAAACAGAUGCCAAAAGCUCUUCACACACGGUCAGAAAAAACUGAACAGACUUGGGUACGCUGCGGCAAACAUCUUUGUUUUCAAAAUGCUCAUAUGUACUUCUCCAAAUAACUCGGAAUAAGCCUUACCGCCUUAAAAAACCGUAACUAUUUCUCAAAAUUUGUUUAUAUAUAUUCUUAUUUUAUAACAAUUUUUGCAG